rnacentral:rRNA from 1 species
UACGAAGGGUGCAAACGUUGCUCGGAAUUAUUGGGCGUAAAGCGCACGUAGGCGGCUUAGCAAGUUGGAUGUGAAAGCCCUCGGCUUAACCAAGGAAGUGCAUCCAAAACUGCUGAGCUUGAGUAGUUAAGAGGAUCGCGGAAUUCCCGGUGUAGAGGUGAAAUUCGUAGAUAUUCGCAAGAACACCAGUGGCGAAGGCGGCUCACUGGCCCGGUACUGACGCUGAGGUGCGAAAGCGUGGGGAGCAAACAGG